rnacentral:rRNA from 1 species
GACGAACGCUGGCGGCGUGCUUAACACAUGCAAGUCGAACGGAAAGGCCCUGCUUUUGUGGGGUGCUCGAGUGGCGAACGGGUGAGUAACACGUGAGUAACCUGCCCUUGAGUUUGGGAUAACUUCAGGAAACUGGGGCUAAUACCGGAUAGGAGCUCCUGCUGCAUGGUGGGGGUUGGAAAGUUUCGGCGGUUGGGGAUGGACUCGCGGCUUAUCAGCUUGUUGGUGGGGUAGUGGCUUACCAAGGCUUUGACGGGUAGCCGGCCUGAGAGGGUGACCGGCCAAAUUGGGACUAGGAUCCGGCCCAGACUCCUACGGGAGGAAGCAGUGGGGAAUAUUGAACAAUGGGCGGAGGCCGGAUGAAGAAACGCCGGGGGGGGAUGACGGCCUUCGGGUUGUAAACCGCUUUCGCCUGUGACGAAGCGUGAGUGACGGUAAUGGGUAAAGAAGCACCGGCUAACUACGUG